rnacentral:misc_RNA from 1 species
AAGUCGUAACAAGGUUUCCGUAGGUGAACCUGCGGAAGGAUCAUUAUCGAGUUUUGAAGUGGGCUGCUUGAGCUGGCAUCGCAGGUGCUCAGUGGCUCCGCUCUCAUCCACUCUACCCCUGUGCACCUUUGAGCGAGUGUGGGUCUGGUUAAACGGAUCGCCUCGUUUCUAUUACAAACUCGUUUUCUGUCUUGUAGAAUGAUAUUGCCUUGCAAUGGGCGAAAUGUUAAUACAACUUUCAACAACGGAUCUCUUGGCUCUC